rnacentral:rRNA from 1 species
UGGGGAAUAUUGGACAAUGGGCGCAAGCCUGAUCCAGCCAUGCCGCGUGGGUGAAGAAGACCUUAGGGUUGUAAACCCCUUUCAGCGGGGAAGAUAAUGACGGUACCCGCAGAAGAAGCCCCGGCUAACUCCGUGCCAGCAGCCGCGGUAAUACGGAGGGGGCUAGCGUUGUUCGGAAUUACUGGGCGUAAAGCGCGCGUAGGCGGACCUGCAAGUCAGGGGUGAAAUCCCGAGGCUCAACCUCGGAACUGCCUUUGAUACUGCGGGUCUCGAGUCCGGGAGAGGUGAGUGGAAUUCCUAGUGUAGAGGUGAAAUUCGUAGAUAUUAGGAAGAACACCAGUGGCGAAGGCGGCUCACUGGCCCGGUACUGACGCUGAGGCGCGAAAGCGUGGGGAGCAAACAGGAUUAGAUACCCUGGUAGUCCACGCCGUAAACUAUGGGUGCUAGCCGUCGGGGAGCGAUGCUCUUCGGUGGCGCAGCAACGCAUU